rnacentral:misc_RNA from 1 species
GAUGAAGAACGCAGCGAAAUGCGAUACUUGGUGUGAAUUGCAGAAUCCCGUGAACCAUCGAGUCUUUGAACGCAAGUUGCGCCCGAAGCCAUUAGGCCGAGGGCACGCCUGCCUGGGUGUCACACACCGUUACCCUCGCGCCAACGUCCAUCGUUGGCCGCGGCGCGGGGCGUGCGCUGACCUCCCGCGAGCGGGGUCUCGUGGUUGGUUGAAAAUCGAGUUCGCGGUCGAGGGUGCCGUGAUGAAAUGGUGGAUGGGCGACGCCCGAGGCCAAUCACGCGCGACUCUGUCCGGCUCGGANNCCUGGACCCCUUCGGCGUCUCCGGACGCUCUUUGGCGAGACCUCAGGUCAGGCGGGGCUACCCGCUGAGUUUAAGCAUAUCAAUAAGCGGAGGA